rnacentral:rRNA from 1 species
GACGAACGCUGGCGGCGUGCUUAACACAUGCAAGUCGAACGAGUGGCGAACGGGUGAGUAAUACGUGAGUAACCUGCCCUCUUUUUGGGAUAAGCCUUGGAAACGGGGUCUAAUACCGACUAAAGGGGGAUGGGCGUGCGGCCUAUCAGCUGGUUGGUGGGGUGAUGGCCUACCAAGGCGGUGACGGGUAGGCGGCGUGAGAGGGUGACAGGCGAAAUUGGGAACGGGACAGAGCCCAAAGUGAGACGGGAGGGGGCAGUGGGGGAUAUUGCACAAAGGGCGAAUGCCUGCUGCAGCGACGUAGGGUGGGGGAUGUAGGCUUGUGGGUUGUAAACCUCUGUGGCUAACGAAUCGGUAGGUGGAGAAGAAGCGCCGGCUAACUACGUGCCAGCAGCCGCGGUAAUAC